GUCCUAGCCGUAAACGAUGGGCACUGAGUGUCGGCCGAUCGACCCGGUCGGUGCUGCAGCUAACGCGUUAAGUGCCCCGCCUGGGGAGUACGACCGCAAGGUUGAAACUCAAAGGAAUUGACGGGGGCCCCGCACAAGCGGUGGAGCAUGUGGUUUAAUUCGACGCAACGCGAAGAACCUUACCCAGGCUUGACAUUCCAGGGACAGCCUCAGAGAUGGGGUCUUCCUUCGGGACCUUGGAACAGGUGCUGCAUGGCUGUCGU
rnacentral:rRNA from 1 species